UCACAGUGAUAAGGAGUCGGAAGCAGAUGUGUAAGAGCCGCGGAUCUGAUCGCUUUACACCGUGUGAACAGAGUCCUGACCACAGGAGCUGACAGUCUAUGAAAUGGGAGAUGCUGAAAACCAUCCCUAUACACGGUCCGUCCUCAGUCACAUGAUGAGGGACAUGCUGGGGGUUGUCCUUCCGCCCGCAGUGAGAGGAGGAGGAGCACCAAUCACUCCCAUCCUCCCCUGGAUCAUGGGUCUGGGCCGCCAUAAGCUCGUCGUCCUGGUCCUGGUUCUGUCCGUCUCCGUCCUGCUCUACCUGCUCCUCCCCUCCAUGAGGCCCGCACCGGAGGAGGCCCGAGCCGAGGCCGCCCGCGCCGAGCCCCCCGACAGCGUGAACGUCACCGUGCGGACGGCGACCCUGGGCGGAGCCUGGCCCACCUUCUACCGGGAGGCGGCGCCGAGGGGCAGCCCGGAGGAGUCCGAGAGGUUCCCGGUGCUGUUACUGCAUGGACGCUCCUUCACCUCAAAAACCUGGGAGGACCUGGGGACGCUGCAGAUUCUGUCCGAGCACGGAUACCGGGCGGUGGCCAUAGACUUACCAGGAUACGGCCAGUCUCUACAAGCUCAGCCUAUGUCUUCAGAGAAGGGCCGCACUGGGUAUCUCCUCCACGUCAUGGAGGCGCUGGGCACACGCCAGCCGGUCAUCAUCAGUCCGUCCAUGAGCGGCCUCUUCUCCGUACCUCUCCUCCUGCAGCACCCCGACCGCCUGAGGGGCUUCGUGCCAGUUGCUCCUGUGGGGACAAAGAGCUUCAAACCGCAGCAGUACCAGCAGAUCCAGGUCCCCACCCUCAUCGUAUUCGGCACAGAAGACAUGAACCUGGGCAGCCAAUCGCUAGAGAGCCUGCGGCACCUGCCGAACCGCACGCUGAGCCCCCUUAAAGGAGCCGGGCACGCGUGUUACAUGGACAGACCGGAGGAGUUCCACACGGCUCUGCUCAUGUUCCUCAGCAAACUAUAAUCCCUAUCAGACGAGACGCAGGAAGAUCUCCUCAGGUGAAGGACUCGGCACCUGCUGCUCAUAGACACCUGUGACAAGGGGCAGGUGUGCAACCAGGACUAUGACUAGUGAACCAGUGUAUGAAAGGAGAGUGAUGUAAUCUACCCACAUGACUUCUGCAGCCAAUCACUGGCUUGUAUCGGUCCCCUCUGCACACCCCUUCAUCUCUGGCUGCGGUGGCCGUGGUUGGACGUCACCUGAAGUAAUUUGGUGCAGAAUGUGGAUUUCAUGUGAGGACAGACACGAGAGGUAAUGGCGCCUCUACUCUUCUCCUGGAUAUUUGGCUCCACUUCUUGUAUAUGGGGAUCGGUCACUGUGGCGGUAGGAGGCGAGCGCCCUCCCACAGCGCAGAAUCGGAGCGACAUCCUGAGCAUGCAGAAGUGACAGAGGGAGCCGAGGUCAUGGGGGACACUGCACCGCUGACCUGUAUAUAGCACCCCCCCCCCCCCCCCCGGUCUGGAUUUCAUGUGUCUGAUGUUAAUAAAGUUUUUCUGUGAAUCGUACAAGGAUCAUUGUCAGAUACUUUAUCCCUCAGGUGCGUGAUGAGUUGUCAUCCUCUGAAUUUUGUUUUCUGACAGCAAGCAGAGAUAU